rnacentral:rRNA from 1 species
CACGCUACCAGGUUGGCUCGGCAUCCCCCCUCUUCCACAGAAGCUCAGUUCGGCGGCUGCUCUGUUCUUUCAGACACACGCACCGCGGCGGCCAUUCCCCACCGGCGAGAUGUCGACAGACGGCCUCGAACUCGACGGGAGGGGUGUAGCAGACAUCGCCGGAUGGAAUUGUGCUGUGUUCCCAGGAUUCCAUGAGUGCGCCAGCUCUAGAGAUCGACAAUGGCGGCAAAGCACAGGAAGGUGGAGAUGGACAGAGAUACGAUGUGCUCUGAAGCCACUAGCGGCUGGACAAGGAGGUUCGGUUGUCUGUCCUCCGAGUGGAGUCCCAGUAUUCCAUGAGUACGCCGGAUGUCGAGAUUGACAAGGAUGGCAAAGCAUAGCCAGAUGUAGAUGCAGCGAGAUACGAGGUUUGCUCAGAAGCUACGACUUGCUGGACACGAAGGUUAGUAAGAAGCGGCUGUAGCUUUUUCUCUUUGAUUUUGCAGCUUUUCAUCAAGGAUUUUUGCAUUGUAGGUGUGUAAAUUAGUUCACUUUUGUUAGCUAGCAUAGAAUUUGGUCCGCAAGAAAGAGUAUUUCAACUGUCAGACAGUGUAGUUUCAGUUAAAAAUUUGUGGUACAUAUGCGCUUUGGAUGGCAAUGUGAUUGUUUCUGGUUUUUUGUUCUGAUUGUUUCUGGCUUGUUGUCACCUAGAGGAAAUUGUCAUUGGUGCAGGUGUGUGGCCUGCUUAAUUUCUUUUAGUUGGAUUAGUUGAACUAGUUAAACAAGUAUAUAGUUUUACGGAAUUGUGGAGAGACCAUAGACAUGAUGAAAUGAACACAACAAUUUUGGGAGAUUUUUGAUUUACUGCAUAAGUGUGUGGAUGCAGUGGAAAGACAAUUGAUUUGUUUCGGAUCUCACUACAAAUCGACAAAUCGUAGAAUGUUUAUUUGAUGACCUCUAUCUCAAUGAAAGACACAUGAUUUAUGAGAAGUGUUGGAAAACUUUGUUAUUGGGAGAUUUCUGAUGAUGGAUGUAUUUGGACAACAAAUUCAGCAGAAAACUGUAGCUAGGUCAAAAUGUGCUGUUAGGCUUGUUGUCACCUAGAGGAAAUCGUCCUUCGUGCUGGUGUGUGACCUGCUUAAUUUGUUUUAGUUGGAUUAGUUGAGCUAAUUACAUACAAGUUGAUGUGCACAGAAUUAAAAAAGUAUAUAGUUUUAUGGAAUUAUGGAGGGGCCAUAUACCUGAUGAACUGAACACAGCAGUUUUGGGGGAUUGUUGAUUUUCCGAGUAAGUCUGUGGAUGCGGUAGGAAGACGAUUGAUUUGUUUCGGAUUUCGCUACACAUCGUAGGAUGAUUAUUUGAUGAGCUCUGUUUCAGUUAAAGACACAGGAUUUAUGAGAUGUGUUGGAACACUUUGUUAUUGGGAGAUUUCUGAUAAUGGAUGUAUUUGGAAAACAAAUUUAGUACAAAACUGUAGCUUGGUCAAUUUUGUCCGCACCGAACGGCUAGUUUACGUAAUGUCAAGGCAUCGGCUAGGUGUGUUGGGUUUAGUUUCGUAUGACAGUGGAUGGACUACUUGUUUGGUAUUCAGUACAUGACCAAAGUGGGAUUCAGUACAUGGCCAAAAUGGAUUACCCUGAUGAAAAUGUGAUUGCCAUGAGAUCUACGUUGGCAUCAAUCAGUAGGAUAGGUCUUGUGUGUGAUGAGCUUUGAUUCAUUGGAAGGCACAUGGGGGCUUUUUUUAUUUGUAUAGGUGGAUCGCCUGUGAGCACAACUGAUUUUUUUUUUUGGCAAAAAUGAAUUUGAUUUGGUAUUAGCGUUCGUAUUUACAUAAUUGGAGUAAGAAUCUGAACAAAUCAUAGUCACUAUAACCAUUUUGUUGUGUGUGUGUCUUAGUUUUAUUACUCACCGGACAGUUCGCUCUAGGAAUGCUUAGAGGCAAACUGAUUGUGCUUAGGUUGUUGUUUUCAGUAAGUUGGCAUGUUUUUUUAGAUGGCCCUGUUAUCUACCAGAACAAUAUUCAAAAUGGUUGUUCCAUGCAAAGAUUACUUGGCACACCCUUUAUUCAAUUCCCAGACCGCCCUGACAAAAUUUUGUUUGUUUGUUCUGCUGAGACACCAUUUUCAGGGUUAGGAUCGGGAAAGCGCCGGAUGAGACGGAGAUGAACAUUGACAGGAAAACAAUGCUUGAAUUGUCUGUUUGCGCUUAUGCGGAAGUGCACAAACUGGGGGAUGGUUGGACAUCGCCGCAAUGCAUGCGGUACUAAAAGGAGCGGACCUUUUUAGCCUAACUUCCUCUAGAUUAAAACUGGUUGUGAUGUUUGAUGCCAUCAAGUCUCCAUGUGGUUGUGCGGUAGUUUCUCUAUUUCGGAUGUCAGAACUUUAAUUUGUGCUACCAACAGUAAUUCUCCUGAUGUGUGUUAACUUUGUCUGAACUUUUUUGCUGUGCGAUUGCAGUUCUGUUGCUUGGUCAACUAAAAUUUCAGUUUUAC